CCUACAUGUACAGAUUACCUCAACUAGCCUGUACCCCUGCACACUGACUCAGUACCGGUGCCCCCUGUAUAUAGCCUCGUUAUUGUUAUUCUUAUUGUGUUACUUUUAUUAUUACUUUUUAUUUUAGUCUACUUGGUAAAUAUUUUCUUCUUCUUGAACUCCACUGUUGGUUAAGGGCUUGUCAGUAAGCAUUUCACGGUAAAGUCUACACUUGUUGUAUUCGGCGCAUGUGGCAAAUAAAGUUUGAUUUGAUUUAAAGGACACCAAUAAGAAGAGACUUGCUUGGGCCAAGAAACACAAGCAAUGGACAUUAGACCGGUGGAAACCUGUCCUUUGGUCUGAUGAGUCCAAAUUUGAGAUUUUUGGUUCCAACCGCUGUGUCUUUGUGAGACGCAGAGUAGGUGAACGGAUGAUCCUCGCAUGUGUGGUUCCCACCGUAAAGCAUGGAGGAGGUGUGAUGGUGUGGGAGUGCUUUGCUGGUGACACUGCCAGUGAUUUAUUUAGAAUUCAGGGCACACUUAACCAGUAUGGCUACCACAGCAUUCUGCAGCGAUACUCCAUCCCAUCUGGUUUGCGCUUAGUGGGACUAUCAUUUGUUUUUCAACAGGACAAUGACCCAACCCAACUCCAGGCUGUGUAAGCGCUAUUUGACCAAGAAGGAGAGUGAUGGAGUGUUGCAUCAGUUGACCUGGCCUCCACAAUCACCCGACCUCAACCCAAUUGAGAUGGUUUGGGAUGAGUUGGAGUGCAGAGUGAAGAAAAGCAGCCAACAAGUGCUCAGCAUAUGUGGGAACUUCUUCAAGACUGUUGGAAAAGCAUUCCAGGUGAAGCUGGUUGAGAGAAUGCCAAGAGUUUGCAAAGCUGUCAUCAAGGCAAUUUUUUUAACCUUUAUUUAACUAGGUAGUUAAGAACAAAUUCUUAUUUACAAUGAUGGCCUACCCCGGCCAAUAUACCACGGCUAAGGGCAGUGUCCAGGCAUUCCACGAUGCGUCGUGUCUAAGAACAACCCUUAGCCAUGGUAUAUUGGCCAUAUACCACACCCCCUCAUGCCUUAUUGCUUAAAUACAUCACAGGAGGCUGAGAACGACUCAUAAUAAUGGCCGGAACGGAACAGAUGGAAUGGCAUCAAACACCUGGAAACCAUGUGUUUGAAAUAUUUGAUACCAUUCCACAAAUUCCGUUCCAGUCAUUACCACGAUUCCGUUCUCCCCAAUUAAGGUGCCACCAACUUCCUGUGAUAUAUAUCUCAUUUGUAUUUAUUAGGGAUCGCCAUUAGUUACUGCCAAGGCAGCAGCUACUCUUCCUGGGGUCCAUACACAUUAAGGCACUUACAUCACACAUAAAACAAAAUAUAAAACAGUACAUCAUAUAACAUUAUUACACCACUACAUAUCUACAAUGCAAAAUGUAUAAUACCAGCAUACAACAAUAUUACAAUGUACCUGUGUGUAGAGUGUGUGCAUAUGCGUGUGUGUGUGUGUGUCUCUUCACAGCAUUGGAGGCUGCUGAGUGGAGGACAGCUCAUUAUAAUGGCUGGAACAGAGUAAAUGGAAUGGCAUUAAACACAUGGAAACCAUGUGUUUGAUGUAUUUGAUACAUUCCAUAAAUUUCGCUCCAAUCAUUACCACGAGCCUGUUCUCCCCAACGCUUCACAGUACCCUCUGUUCCAUAAGCUGUAUUUUUAUCAGUUUUUAAAAAAUAGGAUUCUACUGCUUGCAUCAGUUACCUGAUGUGGAAUAGAGUUCCAUGUAGUCAUGGCUCUUUGUCGUACUGUGCGCCUCCCAUAGUAUGUUCUGGACUUGGGGACUGUGAAGAAACCUCUAGUGGCAUGUCUUGUAGUAGUUUAGUAGUUUUAACAGACAGCUCGGUGUAUUCCGCUUGUCAACACUUCUUACAAAAACAAGUAGUGAGGAAGUCAAUCUCUCCUCCACUUGAGCCAUGAGAGAUUGAUAUGUAUACUAUUAACGUUAGCUCUCCAUGUACAUUUAAGGGCCAACCGUGCUGCCCUGUUCUGAGACAAUUGUCAUUUUCCUAAGUGCCUCUGUGGCCCAUAACCAGACAACUGAACAGUUGGUGCGACAAAACUAGGGUCUGUAGGACAUGCCUUGUUGAUAGUGCUGUCCAAACAGUAGCAAAACUUUCUGUUUUGCAAGCAAAACAAGAGUUUCUAUUGGACAAAUUCAAGUAGGUCUAUCCUUGUUUUGUUCUGGAUCCGCCCCCUUUUUUACAUUUUUGCCUAAAAUGACAUACCCAAAUCUACCUGCCUGUAGCUCAGAACCUGAAGCAAGGAUAUGCAUAUUCUUGAUACCAUUUGAAAGGAAACACUUUGAAGUUUGUAUAAAUUUUAAAUUCAUGUAGGAGAAUAUAACAUAUUAGAUCUGGUAAAAGAUAAUACAAAGAAAAAAACAUGUUUCUUUUGUACCAUCAUCUUUGAAAUGCAAGAGAAAGGCCAUAAUGUAUUAUUCCAGCCCGAGUGCAAUUUAGAUUUUGGCCACUAGAUGGAAGCAGUGUAUGGGCAACGUUUUAGACUGAUCCAAUGAACCAUUGUAUUUCUGUUCAAAGUUUUGUGGCAAGACUGCCCAAAUGUGCCUAAUUGGUUUAUUAAUAACAUUUCAAGUUCAUAAAGGUGCACUCUCCUCAAACAAUAGCAUGGUAUUCUUUCACUGUAAUAGCUACUUUAAAUUGGACAGUGCCGUUAGCUUGAAUUCUUGUUAAUCUUUCUGCCAAUAUCAGAUAUGUCUAUGUCCUGGGAAAUGUUCUUGUUACUUACAACCUCUUGCUAAUCACAUUAGCCUACGUUAGCUCAACUGUCCCAUGGGGGACCCGCCGAUCCUGUAGAGGCUAACCUGUUAGUAAACCUGCUACAAUCAUGCAGUACAGUAAGCACUUUAGCAGUUACACCAGCGGGCCCAGGUGACAAUAAAUUAAUAAAACCAAAAGCUUACCAUGACUUGGAAGAGUGGAUAUUCUUAGCCAGCUAAAUCAAAUAAAAGUUUACAAUAGGUAAGUAAAGAAAUAAAACAACAGUAAAUAGACAGGCUAUAUACAGUAUUGAGGCUAUACAAGUAGCGAGGCUACAUACAGACACCGGUUAGUCAGGUUGAUUGAGGUAGUAUGUACAUGUAGAUAUGGUUAAAGUGACUAUGCAUAUAUGAUGAACAGAGAGUAGCAGUAGCGUAAAAGAGGGGUUGGUGGGUGGUGGGACACAAUGCAGAUAGCCCGGUUAGCCAAUGUGCGGGAGCACUGGCACUAGCUAACAUAAAUCUAACAUAAAUAGCAUUCCUCUCUGUUUGAGCCGGGUGUGAGUAGGCUAAACUAGCUAGCUGCAUUGGCUAGCUAAGUAUGUGAAAGUUAGUUAAAAAAAAUUCACGAAAUAAGAUUAUAGCUAGCUCUCGCUCUCUGCUGCUUCUCCUUAAUUUUUUAAGAAAUGAAUUUGUUCAAAACUGUUCAACUAUUGUCUUUCUCUCUCUGAGUCAACUACUCACCACAUUUUAUGCACUGCAGUGCGAGCUAGCUGCAGAUUAUGCUUUUCAUUCUAUGUGUAACAGUGUAGGUUCCGUCCCUCUCUUCGCCCCAACCCGGGCUCGAACCAGGGACCCUUGCACACAUCAACAACUGACACCCAUCGAAGCAUCGUUACCCAUCGCGCCACAAGAGCCACGGCCCCUGCAACGCAAGGGGAACAACCACUUCAGGCCUCAGGGCUCGAACCAGGGACCCUUACACACAUCAACAACUGACACCCACGAAGCAUCGUUACCCAUCGCGCCACAAAAGCCGCGGCCCUUGCAACGCAAGGGGCAACCCUACUUCAAGUCUCAGAGCGGGUGACGUCACCGAUUGAAACGCUAUUAGCGCGCACCACCGCUAACUAACUAGCCAUUUCACAUCGGUUACAUAUGAUCCUUUGAUUUGGGUGGGUGUCAGUUCAUGCUGCAAGAGCUCUGAUAGGUUGGAGGACGUCCUCCGGAAGUCGUCAUAAUUACUUUGUAAGUCUAUGGAAGGGGGUGAUAACCAUGAGCCGUGGCACACGGACCUGUUAAGAUUGAAAUGACUUAGAAACUGUUUGGGAGAGGCCAGUUAGUCCUCUCAAUCAAACGCUUGGAGAAAAAACAUAUCUAAUGUUGCACCUACCCUACAUUGUCCAGGAAUAUUCUUAUCAUGUUACUGAAUGUAUGCAGAGUAUUUUCCGUUUUGUUAUCAACAAAUACGUCAAAGUACAGUAAAUGUAAAAUGCACAUAAUUUCAACAGUGUAAUGUUUGGAUUCAGUCUUGUCAGAUGAACUGUUGUGUCCUCACAUUUGGUUUAAUCAUUUCCACAAACUGUUCCUUUUCAAUUGCUGCCAUAGUUAUGUAUAUCCUAUGCUUUUCAUAUUUUUUCUGUAAGAAACAUUUCUAUAUAGGCCAAUUUUGAUGUCCCAAUAACAUGACAUAUGAACUGAUAUACAAAACAACUAUGGACAUAUUACAAUACAUUUUUUUUCAAUUUAAACUAUCAUAGAAAAUGAUCGUUACAAAAGGAAUCCUCAAUAAACGGAGCAUUGAACAGUCAGCUCUGUGCAUCUCUGUCUCGAAUAAACAGAACCAAUAGAUUCUUUCUUUUUCUACAGUCCAUCAGUGGCUCCAUCAGUCCAGGAAUGGUUGUUAUGUCAUAAUAUCUGCAGAUGGACCUGCAAACUGUAUUGUUUGGGGAUCGGAAAAACCACAAUCAAUCAAUGGGAAAUAGGAUAAGCUAGCUAACGUCAUUAAUAAUAGUUCGCUAUUUUGCUCUAAAAUUGAAAAUGGUCAAACUACUGUAGCUACAUUAUCAAUAUUGAUAAAGUUGUAAAAAACGGAUUUGUUGUCUUCUUUUGGUUGAAAAGGCCAGUGGUGAAACGUCAGUAUUCGGCAACAAAGUUUCCAAAUUGUGUUUUCGACUUCGAGGGUCCUUCAAGUGAAACUUCCCAGUGGGAACUAGGAAUUUCCGAUAAUCCAAUAACUCAGAUGCCACAUGAACGCAGAAUAUCCUCCCCCCCUUCAAGCUUUUUGGUC
rnacentral:lncRNA from 1 species